rnacentral:tRNA from 1 species
AGAUUAAUAAAUAUAAGCUGCUAACUUAUAAAAAAUGAAUAGUUCAUUUAAUCUUU